rnacentral:rRNA from 1 species
UACGAAGGGGGCUAGCGUUGCUCGGAAUUACUGGGCGUAAAGCGCACGUAGGCGGCUUUCUAAGUCGGGGUGAAAUCCUGGAGCUCAACUCCAGAACUGCCUUCGAUACUGGAAAGCUACGGAGUCCGGGGAGAGGUGAGUGGAACUGCGAGUGUAGAGGUGAAAUUCGUAGAUAUUAGGAAGAACACCAGUGGCGAAGGCGGCUCCACUGGUCCGGUACUGACGCUGAGACGCGAAAGCGUGGGGAGCGAACAGG